rnacentral:rRNA from 1 species
AAUAGAUACCCGGGUAGUCCACGCCGUAAACGAUGAAUGCCAGCCGUUAGUGGGUUUACUCACUAGUGGCGCAGCUAACGCUUUAAGCAUUCCGCCUGGGGAGUACGGUCGCAAGAUUAAACUCAAAGGAAUUGACGGGGGCCCGCACAAGCGGUGGAGCAUGUGGUUUAAUUCGACGCAACGCGCAGAACCUUACCAGCCCUUGACAUGUCCAGGACCGGUCGCAGAGAUGUGACCCUCUCUUCGGAGCCUGGAACACAGGUGCUGCAUGGCUGUCGUCAGCUCGUGUCGUGAGAUGUUGGGUUAAGUCCCGCAACGAGCGCAACCCCCGUCCUUAGUUGCUACCAUUUAGUUGAGCACUCUAAGGAGACUGCCGGUGAUAAGCCGCGAGGAAGUGGGGAUGACGUCAAGUCCUCAUGGCCCUUACGGGCUGGGCUACACACGUGCUACAAUGGCGGUGACAAUGGGAUGCUAAGGGGCGACCCUUCGCAAAUCUCAAAAAGCCGUCUCAGUUCGGAUUGGGCU